UUCGAAAUAGUAUAUAUUUAUUAUCUAUAUAUAAUAGCAAAUCUUUUUUUAUCUAACUGAUGACAUCAUCAUUUUAUUAUAGGAAAAAAUCAAAAUCUAAUGGUGAGAAUCGUGUAUGUGAUAUAAUUUAAUGGUUAAGGUUUUGGUUAGGAACAAAAGAAUGACGUACUAGAUUUACUAUAGCAAUCGACGGCUUCAUCAUACCUCCUCACAGGCGUCUCUUAAACAGAUCAUCUGUUUUUUCCUUAAAGGUUGUAUCUUUUCGCACUCAGAUCUUCUAGAUCUUCUGUGGAACCGUCAUCAUUUUCCCUUGACAGUUGUAACUGUUCAGAAGUUUAUAAAUUGAAGAGAUUGUAUCGAGUUGCAGAUUUGUUUCAAGUUUUCUAUGCUUCUUAUCUCUCUCUCUCCUCCGCAUCCAAAUCCAGUGAUCCACGAUUCAGAAGAACUCAAUCAUGAUGUCUAUUGAAUAUUUAUACA